rnacentral:misc_RNA from 1 species
GAUGAAGAACGUAGCGAAAUGCGAUAAGUAAUGUGAAUUGCAGAAUUCAGUGAAUCAUCGAAUCUUUGAACGCACAUUGCGCCCGCCAGUAUUCUGGCGGGCAUGCCUGUUCGAGCGUCAUUACAACCCUCAGGCCCCCGGGCCUGGCGUUGGGGAUCGGCGGAGCCCCCCGUGGGCACACGCCGUCCCCCAAAUGCAGUGGCGGUCCCGCCGCAGCUUCCAUCGCGUAGUAGCUAACACCUCGCGACUGGAGAGCGGCGCGGCCACGCCGUAAAACACCCAACUCUUCUGAAGUUGACCUCGAAUCAGGUAGGAAUACCCGCUGAACUUGAGCAUAUCAAUAAGCGGAGGA